GACGAACGCUGGCGGCGUGCUUAACACAUGCAAGUCGAACGGAAAGGCCCUGCUUUUGUGGGGUGCUCGAGUGGCGAACGGGUGAGUAACACGUGAGUAACCUGGCCUUGACUUUGGGAUAACUUCAGGAAACUGGGGCUAAUACCGGAUAGGAGCUCCUGCUGCAUGGUGGGGGUUGGAAAGUUUCGGCGGUUGGGGAUGGACUCGCGGCUUAUCAGCUUGUUGGUGGGUAGUGGCUUACCAAGGCUUUGACGGGUAGCCGGCCUGAGAGGGUGACCGGCCACAUUGGGACUGAGAUACGGCCCAGACUCCUACGGGAGGCAGCAGUGGGGAAUAUUGCACAAUGGGCGGAAGCCUGAUGCAGCAACGCCGCGUGCGGGAUGACGGCCUUCGGGUUGUAAACCGCUUUCGCCUGUGACGAAGCGUGAGUGACGGUAAUGGGUAAAGAAGCACCGGCUAACUACGUG
rnacentral:rRNA from 1 species